rnacentral:rRNA from 1 species
AUUGAACGCUGGCGGCAGGCUUAACACAUGCAAGUCGAACGGUAGCAGGAAGAAAGCUUGCUUUCUUUGCUGACGAGUGGCGGACGGGUGAGUAAUGCUUGGGAAUCUGGCUUAUGGAGGGGGAUAACUGUGGGAAACUGCAGCUAAUACCGCGUAAUCUCUGAGGAGKAAAGGGUGGGACCUAUUGGCCACCUGCCAUAAGAUGAGCCCAAGUGGGAUUAGGUAGUUGGUGGGGUAAAGGCCUACCAAGCCUGCGAUCUCUAGCUGGUCUGAGAGGAUGACCAGCCACACUGGAACUGAGACACGGUCCAGACUCCUACGGGAGGCAGCAGUGGGGAAUAUUGCGCAAUGGGGGGAACCCUGACGCAGCCAUGCCGCGUGAAUGAAGAAGGCCUUCGGGUUGUAAAGUUCUUUCGGUAAUGAGGAAGGGAUGUUAUUUAAUAGAUGGCAUCAUUGACGUUAAUUACAGAAGAAGCACCGGCUAACUCCGUGCCAGCAGCCGCGGUAAUACGGAGGGUGCGAGCGUUAAUCGGAAUAACUGGGCGUAAAGGGCACGCAGGCGGACUUUUAAGUGAGAUGUGAAAUCCCCGAGCUUAACUUGGGAAUUGCAUUUCAGACUGGGAGUCUAGAGUACUUUAGGGAGGGGUAGAAUUCCACGUGUAGCGGUGAAAUGCGUAGAGAUGUGGAGGAAUACCGAAGGCGAAGGCAGCCCCUUGGGAAUGUACUGACGCUCAUGUGCGAAAGCGUGGGGAGCAAACAGGAUUAGAUACCCUGGUAGUCCACGCUGUAAACGCUGUCGAUUUGGGGAUUGGGCUAUAUGCUUGGUGCCCGAAGCUAACGUGAUAAAUCGACCGCCUGGGGAGUACGGCCGCAAGGUUAAAACUCAAAUGAAUUGACGGGGGCCCGCACAAGCGGUGGAGCAUGUGGUUUAAUUCGAUGCAACGCGAAGAACCUUACCUACUCUUGACAUCCAGAGAAGCUUGCAGAGAUGCGAGUGUGCCUUCGGGAGCUCUGAGACAGGUGCUGCAUGGCUGUCGUCAGCUCGUGUUGUGAAAUGUUGGGUUAAGUCCCGCAACGAGCGC